rnacentral:lncRNA from 1 species
CCCCCCCCCCCCCCCCCCCCCCCCCCCCCCCCCCCCCCCCCCCCCCCCCCCCCCCCCCCCCCCCCCCCCCCCCCCCCCCCCCCCCCCCCCUCGCCCCCACCAGCUGCCCCCUUCCCGGUAGCCAAGGCAGAUUCUUCACCUGGUGCUGCUCCCCGUCCUGGAUAAGGCCGCGUGGUGUGAUGGCAGCCGGUGAUGCAGCCGCUUUGGCGGUGAAGCGAGUAAUGCCGCGUGUAGCAAUAACAUCGCCGGUGGUGCUUGCGGCUCAAGGAAAUGACCCUGGCACCUCUGAGACCAAGUAGAAGGAAGAGGGAUGAUCACAAUGCAAGUACUUAAAAACACAGCUACAAGAAAAGGAAAAACACAGCUCCAAGCAAGGCUGCAGAAGAUGGUCACAUUCCUAGUGUGAUGUGCAACAGUGAAGUUACCAGAGAUUAGAGAAAAACUGCUUUUAAGGCUUCAGUAAGUGUAGUCUGUGACUACAAAAUCUACUUUUCCUUUUUAGUUGACAAACAAUGACUGCAAAUUAUUUGAAUUACAUGUUCUCCCUAAAAGCUUUUGUAGUAAUUUGCCAGAAUAGUCUCCAUCAAGAUGAAAUAAUUUGGUUUGGAUCUGGCUUAUUACAGUGACGUUUUGUAAUAAAACCCCCAGUACGUGAGCUGAUAAAUUGUCUGUCUCUGAAUUCUGCAAGAUUACAGGAGGUCUGUACUCCUGGUCUCAGACGUGGUUUCUCUUUGUGGUUAAUUAGCCGUGGGGGAGAUUCUCAGAGAUGAUGAGUUCUGAAAAUCCUUCCAGAGACAGAUGAUAAACAAGCCUUCUCCUGCCCCAGGUCAUCUCCCCUAGGAAAGUCAGUUUUUGUCUCCUGCCUCCUUUAUUGUAGACGUAGGCAGGAUUUUAAUGGGACACUGUCCUCAAGGGUGGGUGAAUCCACAUGCAGAGACCGUGCCCCAUUAGUAUGAAACUGUGGCAGGGCAACAACCUGGAGAGAGCAUUGCCUUCCAUGCUGGCUGGAGUCUCACUUCGGUGAGAACUCAAAUUAAAUGGGUCAAAUGCCUAUCGUGCCUCUGUU